rnacentral:pre_miRNA from 1 species
CACAUACUCCCUCCGUCCGAAAAUGCUCGUCAUAGGAAUGAAUGUAUCUAGAUGUAUUUUAAUUUUAGAUAUAUUUAUUUUUAUAUAUUUGUGCGAGAAUUAAUUCCGGACGGAGGAGUACCUU